UGGGGAAUUUUGGACAAUGGGGGCAACCCUGAUCCAGCAAUGCCGCGUGUGUGAAGAAGGCCUUCGGGUUGUAAAGCACUUUUGUCCGGGAAGAAAUCGCACCUGAUAAUACCGGGUGUGGAUGACGGUACCGGAAGAAUAAGGACCGGCUAACUACGUGCCAGCAGCCGCGGUAAUACGUAGGGUCCAAGCGUUAAUCGGAAUUACUGGGCGUAAAGCGUGCGCAGGCGGUUGUGCAUGACCGAUGUGAAAUCCCCGGGCUUAACCUGGGAAUUGCAUUGGUGACUGCACGGGUAGCGUGUGUGAGAGGAGGGUAGAAUUCCACGUGUAGCAGUGACAUGCGUAGAGAUGUGGAGGAAUACCGAUGGCGAAGGCAGCCCCCUGGGAUAACACUGACGCUCAUGCACGACAGCAUGGGGAGCAAACAGG
rnacentral:rRNA from 1 species